GCAUGGAGUAGUUAAAUAGCUUUCCCAAAGGCACACAGCAGAGCAGAAACUCAAAUCCAGUUCGAUAAAGUCUCAGAGAUUGAGAAGAGAACAUGUCUGAA